rnacentral:rRNA from 1 species
GGGAGGGGAGUGAAAGAGAACCUGAAACCUUGUGCUUACAAACAGUCAAAGGCCUACGGGCUGAUGGCGUACUUUUUGUAGAACGGUCCGGCGAGUUACUAAUGCCAGCGAGGUUAAGUGGUCAGAAGCCACGGAGCCGAAGGGAAACCAAGUCUGAAUAGGGCGUAGAGUUGGUAUUAGUAGACCCGAAACCGGGUGACCUAUCCAUGUCCAGGUUGAAGGAACCGUAAAAGGUUUUGGAGGACCGAACACACAUGUGUUGAAAAACGUGGUGAUGAGGUGUGGAUAGCGGAGAAAUUCCAAUCGAACUCGGAGAUAGCUGGUUCUCCUCGAAAUAGCUUUAGGGCUAGCCUUGAGCUAGAGUCUAACGGAGGUAAAGCACUGAACUGACGCGGGGCCCCAAAAGGUUACCAACUCAUAUCAAACUAAGAAUGCCGUCAAGAUACCCUCGGGAGUCAGUCUGCGUGAGAUAAGUCGCGUGGACAAAAGGGAAAGAGCCCAGACCGACAGCUAAGGUCCCAAAGUACGUGUUAAGUGGAAAAGGAUGUGGGAUUUCAUAGACAACUAGGAUGUUGGCUUAGAAGCAGCCAUACAUUUAAAGAGUGCGUAAUAGCUCACUAGUCGAGAAAACCUGCGCCGAAAAUGUAACGGGGCUAAAACACGACACCGAAGCUACGGAUUUCCUACUAGGUAGGAAGUGGUAGAGGAGCAUCCUGCAAGGACGAAGCCAAAGUGAGAGCGAUGGUGGACGAAACAGGAGAGAGAAUGCCGGAAUGAGUAGCGAGAUACAUGUGAGAAACAUGUAGGCCGAAUAUCUAAGGAUUCCUGGGUAAAGCUAAUCUUCCCAGGGUUAGUCGGGGCCUAAGGCGAGGACGAAAGUCGUAGUCGAUGGAUAACAGGUUGAUAUUCCUGUACUACACAUAAUCAGAACUGUGGGGACGCAGGAGGAUAGGGAAACCGGGGAAUGGAAAGACCCGGUCAAGCGUAAAGCUGUGAGAGAUAGGCAAAUCCGUCUCUUGUAAGUGAAACGUGAUGAGGACUGAAAAAAAGUAAGGAAGUUUCCGAAUCCACACUGCCGAGAAAAGCCGCUAUUGCGUUAUGUGUACCCGUACCGUAAACCGACACAGGUAGAUGAGGAGAAAAUCCACAGGCCGACGGGAGAAGUGUUGUUAAGGAACUCGGCAAAAUGACCCCGUAACUUCGGGAUAAGGGGAGCCUCGCAAGAGGCCGCAGAAAAGAGGCACAAGCAACUGUUUAGCAAAAACAUAGGUCUAUGCGAAACCGUAAGGUGAAGUAUAUGGGCUGACGCCUGCCCGGUGCUGGAAGGUUAAAAGGAGAGGUCAGCGCAAGCGAAGCUUUGAAUUCAAGCCCCAGUAAACGGCGGCCGUAACUAUAACGGUCCUAAGGUAGCGAAAUUCCUUGUCAGGUAAGUUCUGACCCGCACGAAAGGCGUAAUGAUUUGUGCACUGUCUCGACAACACGCCCGGUGAAAUUGAAGAACCAGUGAAGAUACUGGUUACCCGCAACAGGACGGAAAGACCCCAUGGAGCUUUACUGCAGCCUGAUACUGGGAUUCGAUGAUAUAUGUACAGGAUAGGUGGGAGGCUAAGAAGCGAGAACGCUAGUUUUCGUGGAGCCGCCGGUGGGAUACCACUCUUAUGUCAUUGAAUUUCUAACCUGCAUCCGUAAUCCGGGUGAGGGACAAUGUCAGGCGGGCAGUUUGACUGGGGCGGUCGCCUCCUAAAAGGUAACGGAGGCGCUCGAAGGUCACCUCAGAAUGAUUGGAAACCAUUCAAAGAGUGUAAAGGCAAAAGGUGGCUUGACUGCGAGAGCGACGGCUCGAGCAGGUACGAAAGUAGGACUUAGUGAUCCGGUGGUAAUAAGUGGGAAUGCCAUCGCUCAACGGAUAAAAGCUACCCUGG